rnacentral:rRNA from 1 species
GACGAACCGUGCAAACGUUAUUCGGAAUCACUGGGCGUAAAGGGCGCGUAGGCGGCCAUUCAAGUCAGGGGUGAAAGCCUGUGGCUCAACCACAGAAUUGCCUUUGAUACUGUUUGGCUAGAGACCGGAAGAGGUAAGUGGAACUGCGAGUGUAGAGGUGAAAUUCGUAGAUAUUCGCAAGAACACCAGUGGCGAAGGCGGCUUACUGGUCCGGUUCUGACGCUGAGGCGCGAAAGCGUGGGGAGCAAACAGG